rnacentral:misc_RNA from 1 species
CUUAGUAAAAUCUAUGCAUGAUGUCCGUAUGUUUGAGUUUCAGAUGUUUUGUGGUAUAAAAUGAGGAAGGAUGAGAAGGUCAGGGAUGGGUUGGAUAAACCCCGACUGUUGGCGUGGAUUCUGGUCUUAUCCUAAGCCUCCUCCGGUAGAAUUCUCCCGUAUUCUUCCAGACAAUGCUCCAGAGCUCCCGGAUCUAACCCUGAUACCGGACCAUGUCCAGAAACCAGGAUAUUACUACACCGGAAAACCGGAAGUUGUUCCUCAAGUUCCGGUCAUCUGGAACUUGGAACAGAUAGAUAAGAUUCGUAGUUCCUGCAAGAUUGCGAGUGGUGCUCUGAACCUAGGAGAGUCUCUAGUUGCUCCUGGAGUAACAACUGAGAAGAUAGAUUCUGAAAUCCGGGAGUUUAUUCUGAGUCACGGAGCAUAUCCGUCUCCUUUUAACUUCAAGGGGUUCCCUAAAUCUAUCAGCUGUUCAGUAAACAACGUUGCUGCUCAUGGUAUCCCAGACGCCAGAGAACUUGAACCCGGAGAUAUCAUCAACAUAGACAUCACCGUGUUCAAGGACGGAUUUCACGGGGACUGCUCCGAUACCUUCCCAGUCGGAGACAUAGAUCCAUACGCAGCUAAACUCAUCGACAUAAGCAGAGAGUGUUUAGAUAUUAGUAUCUUGAGAUGUAAGGACGGAGAACUAUACAGAACUAUCGGAGAAACUAUUGAUAAAUGCGCCAAAAAGAAUAAAUUCUCCACUAUACAGAUUCUAUUGGGACAUGGUAUAGGAACUUUUUUCCACGGCCCCCCUGACAUCUACCACUGCUUAAACAGCUACCCUGGAAAGAUGGCUGCAGGGAUGGUGUUUACUAUAGAGCCUUGCCUUUCCGAAGGAGAUAGGAGAAUCCGAUUUCUCCGGGAUGGUUGGACAGCUGUAACAGUUGAUAACUCGAGAACUGCACAAGCUGAGCAUACCAUACUCAUCACACAGACCGGAGCAGAGAUACUAACAAGCAGAUCUGGAGAUAUGUUAACCAGUAGACCGGGAGAUGUGUUAUGCAAUAUACCUGGAGAGGAAUUAUCUAGUAGAUUUGGAGAGGUGUUAUCCAAUAGACCUGAAGAGGAGUUAUCCAGUAGAUCUGGGGAGGUGUUGUCUAGUUUCCGAGAUGUGUUUUCUAACAAACCUACCGAUAAAGUAUCAAGUAGACUUGGAGAGAAAGAAAGCUGAUAGUAAAUAUAUAUCUAUACAAGUUUCAUUUUCUAGUCAAACGUAGUUUUUAUGGGGUGUCUUAAUAUUCAUGAGAUUUUGUUAGAAUCUUUCAGAACAUAGAUUGAGACACCCUGCAACUAACUAAUGAAUAAUUGUUAUGAUUUUGUGAACAUCUUUUACGGGUUUAGUUUUAACAAAUUAUAGCCUUCAAGCCUUACAUUGUACACUUCUCAUUUUCCGAGGUUAUAACGUUGUACACUGUACACUGUACAUAUUGUACAUUGCACAAUUCGAACCCGAUGUUUUGUAAACUUAUCUUUUUAGAAUAAAAAAAAAUCCAAUAGCAUUUUGUAAUUAAAUGUUACUGAUUAUCGUGUUACUUACAUCUUGUUAUUGAAGUGUGUAAACUAGAUUUUAUAUUUGUAACUUUUUGAGACCUAUAGAUUCAUUCUGUGUUUGAAAAACCCAGUGAAAUAAAGAAUUCUAAAGCCACAAGAUA